rnacentral:misc_RNA from 1 species
UCUCUCUCUCUCUCUCUCUCAGUAGUUUUUGUUUGUAAGCAAAACUAACUAUAGAUUGUGAAAUUUAUGAUCCAAGGAUUUUCAUUAUUAAAAUUAUAGAUUCCAUUGACAAUAAAUUAUUGUUCUUUUGUUAUAAUCCUUGAUAGCACCAAGUUAAUGCUGGUCAUUGUCAUCUGUUAUGUGUGGUAAUUGCUGCAGGGUAGCAAGAAUGAGGAGGAGGAGUUCAAUACAGGACCUCUUUCAGUACUC